CUUCACUUUGAUGAAAGACCUACAUUGGUACCUGUUGUCGCUAAAUGAAAGAAAUCUGAAGAGGAUUUUCACUUUUACGAAAAAAGUGCAAAGUCAACAGGAUUAUGUGAAUUCCAGGAAGGUGAAGAAACAGUCAAGUAUGAAAACUAUGACUUCUGAUUUGGUAUCCUUCUGAACAGACACCUGAUGAAAGAACUACCAAAGAAUGUACUUCAGCAAGGAGAAUGAAUACGGGAGGAGUGGACCUGGAGAAGCACUGAACUUGGGAAAAAUCACAACUGAAUUUUAAAAAGUGUGUAACUUUUGAUUUUGCCUUGGGAAAUACAUUUCUAUUCAAUG